GUUCCUAAGACAAAUCUCAUGUCACUUUGGUCAACAAUCUUUAGUUUUAGUCUUCAUAAGUCAUUAGCUCUACACUUCUCUAGAAAUGUUUAAUUUGGCAUGUUAUCUACAAAUGCAUAAGAGAACAGUAGAUGGACGGUCCUCUUGCAAAACUACACAGAUUUAGCUUCAAUUGAAAUGUCCAGCCAUGGCCAACCAAAGCGGACCUUCAAAUCCAGGAUUGGUCCAGCAUGGGGAGACACUGAAAAGGCGUAUUCAGAACGAAGCGUUCCUGCAGCAAGUGAAACCCGGAGACAUGAUUGAGUUCCCAAGAAAAUUUUAUUCUCACUGGGCAAUUUAUGUCGGCAAAGGUAAAGUCAUUCAUCUGACUGGAGAUGCAGGCGACAUGGCAUUGGAUGAAGCAGGAACUGUUAAAUUGGAGGAUUUUUGGACAGUAGUUGGAACGAGCACACCAAAGAUCAAUAACUUCUUGGAUGCUGAGAUGGAACCUCUACCAGAGAAAUACAUUAUAUCUAACGCAAUGAGCAAACUUGGUGCCGAAGGAUAUCAUUUGAUUUUCUUAAACUGUGAACACUUCGUUACCUGGUGCAGAUAGGGCAAGGCGAAAAGUAGUCAGGUUAAACAUGUGACCAAAGUCUUAGGAAACUUUGGAUCAAGUUUGAAAGACAAACUGAAUGCUAUAGCCAGUACUGCCCAAAACAAACAGGAAAAAGACAUUGUUUCCGGAGUGCUAUCCCUGGGAGUAACGUUAGCUAACAAAGGGAAAGACUACAUUGAGAAGAAUGAGGACGCUGAUCUGAAAACCUUGAAACAAAGAAAACAAAGCUCCAAAUCUACUAAGAAGUCAAGAGACUUGGGAGAAGCCAAAAUAGACUAAAUGAUGUGCUUUCCAAGAAAUGUAGGAUUGUAUUUGGGAUCUGAUUGGAUAUGUCAAAGUUACGUGCCAACUUUCAUUGUCACAACUAAAUCCAGACGUGAUGUUGUUGUCCAUAGAUAGUUGAUCUUUUUAGAAAGCGCUUAAAAAUAUGCAUUCUUUAGGAAAGAGAUCUAAAUAUUUCUUAUCUAUUAUUUAAGAAACUGUUUUCCAAUUAGGCUUUUAUUAACUAAAUACCUGAAGUCAAUGUUAUGUUCAGCUUAUAUGCAAGUUUGUGUGUUUACCACACUAUGUCAGCAGUAGACAUUGUUAUUUCAAAAUCCGAAAUGUAUACACAAAAUCUAUAUUAUCUUAUCUUAUAAAAUACAGAUGAAACAUAUGUAGUAGUAGAAAAAUCUCAAAAUUUGUUAUAUAAAUUUCAUUUCUUGACAUAUCCUUA